rnacentral:rRNA from 1 species
CAAUAGCGUAUAUUAAAGUUGUUGCAGUUAAAAAGCUCGUAGUUGGAUUUCGGGACGGGCCAGUUGGUCCGCCGCAGGGUGUGUUACUGACUGGUCUGUUCUUCUUCGCAAAGACUGCGUGUGCUCUUCGUUGAGUGUGCGUAGGAUUUACGACGUUUACUUUGAAAAAAUUAGAGUGUUCAAAGCAGGCUAUCGCUUGAAUACAUGAGCAUGGAAUAAUGGAAUAGGACUUUGGUCCUAUUUUGUUGGUUUCUAGGACCGAAGUAAUGAUUAAGAGGGACAAUUGGGGGCAUCCGUAUUUCGUUGUCAGAGGUGAAAUUCUUGGAUUUACGAAAGACGAACAACUGCGAAAGCACUUGCCAAGAGUGUUUUCAUUAA